AGCCGCUUCGGGGUGACACAGCACCUCGGCUCAGCUGCUGCUGGAUUUCUGCUCUGUUUGGGCAGAUCGUGGUGGUGCGACAAUACGGGAUUUAAUUUUCCCUAAUUUGGCUGAGAAGCGCAGCAUCUGCUCCUAAUAAAACCGCUUCCUGGAGCCAGGCGCGUUGCCGUGGUUACCACGUGCUAUUUCUGCCGUCCCCCCAGCCCCGGUCCGGGGCAGGGGCACCCAGCGCCGAGCCCUGCCCCUGGCAGCUCUGCGGGCUGUGCCGGGGCCGUGUCCCAGCACCGGCUCGUCCGUGCUGCCGCUGCGCUCCCCGUCUCGCCGUCCUCGCCGGGGACAGGCCUGCGCGCGGCUACGUACCCCCAUGCAAAACCCGUGUUGCACGCUUAUAAAAUGGGGGGAUAGUGCUCUGCCCCGGGGGGUCUGGAGCCGUGGCGAGCGCGGCCCCAGACCGGUCACGCAUUGCAAGGGGACGUCAGAGACGGUGGGAAAAUGCACAGGGCAGAGCUGAGCCAGAACUGGCAGAAGCUGCGGUGUCUCCGGGGUGGAUCGCGGCUGCAGCAGUUCCUGACGCUCAGGUUUGGGCAUCCCCCACGCUGCUGCGAAAAACCUCCCUUCUUGCCUUUCGGCAGUAGGUGCCAACCCCGAUUUCGCGCAGCUUUUUGCAAGUCCUGCUGCGGCGCCGAUGCCUUCGUUCGCCGUUGCUUUGUCCUACGGCUCAGCAAACCCCAGUCGCAGUAAAUCACAGAGGAAACUGCAGCAGCAACAUUUCUUGCCAUGGCAACGGCGCAAUUGCGUCAGGGUUUUGCAAACUGCCAAGCUGGGGUGAGGCCGGCCUCGGAGGGCUGCAGAAAGGCCCCUGCGAAUACGAGCAAUAAACGUCGCCGGUGGGGACCCCUCCAAGGCGUCCGCGGAGCUGCAGACGUGCUGCUUGCGGGUGUCCUGCAAAGGUCCCCCGGAGGCAGGGGGGCUUAGCACGAGGCUGGGAAACCGCGACCGAGACGAGGACGUCAUGGCAGGCUUUUCAGCACGCCUCUAUCGUGCUCCCUGCAUGCAUCUCAAUGUGGCACUGAAAGCUGCUGUGCUGCUGGAAGGAGACUUUUUUUUAGGAAGUAAGUAUCAUUUUAUAUGCUACAACAAUCUCUGUCACUGGAGGUUUUAAAGAAAUGGGUGAGACAAACAUCUGCCAGGAAUGGGGUUGCCUGAGCCAACGGACAGGAUGGUCCCCAAGGUCCCUCCAGCUCCUUGUGAUUUAUGAUUUAACAGUUAUCACACACUGAGGACCACAGUCCAGAGGAGUCCGGCAUCCUGCUAGGAGCCGCGUGAACGCAUGGAGAGAUGGUCUCUGCUCCGGAGAGUGUAUCGCUCCAGGCAGGCGUCUGUAGUCGCUGAAGAUGCAACAGCACUUCCACCGUAUUGGGUCAGUGUAACUACAGUCCUUUCUCACCAGGUGACUAAAAGGUGACUGAAAAUGUGCCUUGGCUGGACAAAAUCAAUGAAUGCAUGCUCUGUCCUAAAAUUUGUGCAGGGGCUACUUGAGCACCUAAGCUACAGGCAGAAACAGUGCAGAAGUGGAGGCUGAGCGCUGUUUUCUCAGUUUACCUUGCCGAGCGUUUGGGGAUCCUCAGACCAGGAGUUGUGCAAGCGCCAGCCUUUGCUGCAGGGAGGUUAGCUCUGGUGACAUGCACCACACGCUGUGCUUCGUUGCUAAUCACUGCCAUAACGACACGUGAAAGCAGCCGGGAUAGUUGACUGGUGUACGCUGCCAGCGCCGGUUUCAGCUGUGGUUUUGUGGUGCGUUUCUGGCACGUCAAGGGGUUUCCCUGCGCUGAAUGCCGCCGGGGCCCGUCGUGCGGGACGCAGCUCACGGCAGUGCCCAGCGGGCGAGAGCCGGGGCCAUGUGGCCGCUGCAGCCCGCGUGUUUACCAGCCCCAGUGACAUGCUGCUUGCAAUGCCCUGGAUCAGACAGGGAGGAAUAAGCAGAUCUGGAGCACAUGGAACCUCCUGAGAGCGCCCGAACUGGGACAGGGAGCGCAGGCAGUACGGGAGAGCUUGAUUGGAUCUGGUUCUCACCUUGUUUAAUCGUGUAACUUCACCGGUUUCAAAGGAAAAGCAUGAAUGCACCCAAAUGAGACUGGAAUCAGGGCUUCGGCGUUUGGGGACCAAUCCAGCUUCUGCAGAGGAGAGCUGGGAUCGCUCCAUUUACUAUCAGAGGAGCCAAACCAGGCCCUGAGGGCCGACGCUCAGCUGUGAACGGAGCCACGCUGCUCUGCACAAGUCUUUGGUCCUGGUAGAACCAAAAUUCCAUUGAAGUGCACAUAAAAGAUUAACAGUGCUAUUUUAAAAACACUUAACGUGCACGGGCUUUGCGUGAGGAGUAAAAAGUACGAUUAAAAAUAACCGUGUUUGUCCCUUGACGUUUGCGGUAUUGACGGCCUGAGGAAUGUGCAAGCAGCUACAGCGCUGCCUCCUCCCCGCCGGCAUCGCCCGGGCAGCGGUGUCCCGCCGGCGCCGCUCCCCUCGCAGCAUGGCUCCGUGUGUCAAGGUCACUCUACCCGCCCUCAUCGUGAACCAGAAAUGCUUAUGUUAAUACGUCGCUAAUUUAAUCAAAAUGCCAUGCUGGGGAUUCAAGCUCAGGGCUGAACUGUCUUUUUCUCUCUUGAAGGGCAAAAACUGAUCUGCAGUCUCCGAUGGCACACGAGUCCUCCCGCCUUGCCUCUCCUGUCCUUUGACACGGCUGCUGCACUGACGGACCCCGAUGCGAGGCAAUAUUAGGCAGAAUUAAAAAAUAAAUCAGGCUUAGUCAACAAUUUAAACCCAGAGUUUAAAAUUAAAAUACGCACUUCAAAUCAGGAAACAAAUUAUUUAUUUGUACAAAAUAUUGCAAUAUCUUAUCCUAUUAUUCACAGCUUCAUCCUGCUUUUAAUGAUUGCUCUCAUAUUUUGAGUACUGAACCUUUUCCUUUUACUGCAGAGCAUCUCAGAUACACAUAAUACCAACAGAUUAUAUUAAAAAUGUAUUAUAUAAUAAUAAUUAUUUUUAUUAUUAAUGCUGUUAAUUUGUUCUCCAUACUGGAAAAUUAAUUCAUUUUUUCAUAGUUUUGCCAGUAAGGAGGUCAUACUAGUAAUAAGAUUGGUGGCUCAUCAAUAUAUUUAUUUUUAAUGUGCUUUUGAGUACUUUAGCUGCAGCCGGUAAUGCAUGGUUGUGGAGUGUGCUGUUGUGCCCUGCUGGUGCUGCGUGCUCGGCAAAAUGACCGAAGCCUCGGUGCCGUAACAGAAAAUCCGCAGACAAUGCUCCAUUGUGAAAGCUGUGCUGAGGAGUAAUGAAACAGCUAUUUUUGUGUGUACGGCAGUACAGAUUAGAGCAGACUGCAACACUGA